rnacentral:tmRNA from 1 species
GGGGGCGCACUGGCUUCGACUCGUGGUUUGAAGCACAGGCGGCAUGUCGAGGAUGGUUCGUUGGCCUCGUAAAAAACCGAGCCAAAACAAAUAAACGCAGAUCACGAAGAUCUCGCUCUCGCGGCUUAAUUGACCGCGACGUUUCCGGGGCAACGCCUGCUAGCGCCGGGAACGUGGACAGCAGGCUGGCCGGCGGGCGGAGCGACCGCGUUCGCCGGUGAAUCGAUUUCGCGGACGCUCGGGAGUCGGCAGUGUGCCGAUGCAACAUUCGACUCCUUAAACCUUAUCAUCGGAUAAGCAUGUAGAAGUUUGUGUGGACAGCGACGAGGACAGGGGUUCAACUCCCCUCGCCUCCAAUU